rnacentral:sRNA from 1 species
UGAGACAGGGUUUCUCUGUGUAGCCCUGGCUGUCCUGGACUCACUUUGUAGACCAGGCUGGCCUUGAACUCACAGAGAUCCUCCUGCCUCUGCCUCCCGAUUGCUGGGAUUAAAGGCAUGCACCACCACACCUGGC